AACGAACGCUGGCGGGCAGGCCUCCAUACAUGCAAGUCGAGCGAUUAAGACUCCUUCGGGAGUGUAUAAAGCGGCGAACGGGUGAGGUAACAGGUGGAUGAUCUACCUUCCGGUGGGGGAUAACGGCUGGAAACGGCCGCUAAUACCGCAUUCGGUUAAUACGCUGCGGCGUAUUAAAGAAAGGCGCUUCAAAGCGCCGCCGGGAGAUGAGUCCGCCCCCCAUUAGCUAGUUGGUGAGAUAACAGCUCACCAAGGCAACGAUGGGUAGCCGAACUGAGAGGUUGAUCGGCCACACUGGAACUGAGAUACGGUCCAGACUCCUACGGGAGGCAGCAGUAGGGAAUAUUGGGCAAUGGGCGGAAGCCUGAACCAGCCAUCCCGCGUGAAGGAAGACAGCCUUACGGGUUGUAAACUUCUUUUCUGUCAGAAGAAUAAGCUUGUCGAGACGAGUGAUGCCGGUAUGACAGGAAUAAGCAUCGGCUAACUCCGUG
rnacentral:rRNA from 1 species